rnacentral:rRNA from 1 species
AGACUUUUUAUUUGAUGCUUGCAUCUUUUAAAAAGUUGAGUGGCGAACGGGUGAGUAACACGUGGGUAACCUGCCUUAAAGUGGGGGAUAACACUUGGAAACAGGUGCUAAUACCGCAUAACCAUCAAAACCGCCUGGUUUUGAUGUUAAAGAUGGUUCUGCUAUCGCUUUAAGAUGGACCCGCGGCGUAUUAGCUAGUUGGUGAGGUAAUGGCUUACCAAGGCAAUGAUACGUAGCCGAACUGAGAGGUUGAUCGGCCACAUUGGGACUGAGACACGGCCCAAACUCCUACGGGAGGCAGCAGUAGGGAAUCUUCCACAAUGGACGAAAGUCUGAUGGAGCAACGCCGCGUGAGUGAAGAAGGUUUUCGGAUCGUAAAACUCUGUUGUCAGAGAAGAACGUGUGUGAGAGUAACUGUUCACGCAGUGACGGUAUCUGACCAGAAAGUCACGGCUAACUACGUGCCAGCAGCCGCGGUAAUACGUAGGUGGCAAGCGUUGUCCGGAUUUAUUGGGCGUAAAGGGAACGCAGGCGGUCUUUUAAGUCUGAUGUGAAAGCCUUCGGCUUAACCGAAGUCGGGCAUUGGAAACUGGGAGACUUGAGUGCAGAAGAGGAGAGUGGAACUCCAUGUGUAGCGGUGAAAUGCGUAGAUAUAUGGAAGAACACCAGUGGCGAAAGCGGCUCUCUGGUCUGUAACUGACGCUGAGGUUCGAAAGCGUGGGUAGCAAACAGGAUUAGAUACCCUGGUAGUCCACGCCGUAAACGAUGAAUGCUAAGUGUUGGAGGGUUUCCGCCCU